rnacentral:rRNA from 1 species
UACGUAGGGUGCAAGCGUUAAUCGGAAUUACUGGGCGUAAAGCGUGCGCAGGCGGCUCUGCAAGACAGAUGUGAAAUCCCCGGGCUCAACCUGGGAACUGCAUUUGUGACUGCAGGGCUGAGAGUACGGUAGAGGGGGAUGGAAUUCGCGUGUAGCAGUGAAUGCGUAGAUAUGCGGAGGAACACGAUGGCGAAGGCAAUCCCCUGGACCUGUACUGACGCUCAUGCACGGAAGC